rnacentral:rRNA from 1 species
UCACCAGAUAAGACAGCUGAAUGAUAGUCGGGCUGAAGACUCUACUUGACUAGCUGAGAGGAGGUGCAUGGCCGUCGUCAGUUCGUACUGUGAAGCAUCCUGUUAAGUCAGGCAACGAGCGAGACCCACGCCAACAGUUGCCAGCUCGUCCUCCGGGAUGGUGGGGACACUGUUGGGACCGCUCUGCUAAAGAGGAGGAAGGAAUGGGCAACGGUAGGUCAGCAUGCCCCGAAUUAUCUGGGCUACACGCGGGCUACAAUGGGUGGGACAAUGGGUAUCGACACCGAAAGGUGAAGGCAAUCUCCUAAACCCAUCCGUAGUUCGGAUUGUGGGCUGCAACUCGCCCACAUGAAGCUGGAAUCUGUAGUAAUCGUGUCUCAAAAUGGCACGGUGAAUAUGUCCCUGCUCCUU